GCGCCGUUGGUCUAGUGGUAUGAUUCUCGCUUAGGGUAACACCCAAAAGCAUCGCUUGCGAGAGGUCCCGGGUUCAAUCCCCGGAUGGCGCC
rnacentral:tRNA from 1 species